rnacentral:other from 1 species
CGUUCCCUGGGUUGCAUGCCAGUUGUGAUGUUCUCAACCCUAUGUGCGAUACCCNAGGAGGUCUUUUUCCAUGGCAGUUGUGCAUGUCCGCCAAGGCGGAACGCCUGAUGUCAGUUAGAGACCACCGCCUUGAACCGCAGGGUUCAGGGGACCUCUUCGACAGCGGCAAUUUGGGGAACUG